AACGAACGCUGGCGGCGUGGAUAAGACAUGCAAGUCGAACGGAUUUAGUUUUGUAGCAAUACAAGGCUGAGUCAGUGGCGCAAGGGUGCGUAACACGUGGGCAACCUGCCCUGGAGACUGGGAUAGCCCGCCGAAAGGCGGAUUAAUACCGGAUGCGGCUACCAAAGGAUUCUUUGGGACGCUAAAGGUGGCGCAAGCUACCGCUCUUGGAUGGGCCCGCGGCCUAUCAGCAGUUGGUGAGGUUACGGCUCACCAAGGCGAUGACGGGUAGCUGGUCUGAGAGGACGACCAGUCACACUGGAACUGAGACACGGUCCAGACACCUACGGGUGGCAGCAGUCGAGAAUUUUUCUCAAUGGGGGAAACCCUGAAGGAGCGACGCCGCGUGGAGGAUGAAGGUCUUCGGAUUGUAAACUCCUGUCAUUGGUGAACAAGACA
rnacentral:rRNA from 1 species